UACAGAGGUCUCAAGCGUUGUUCGGAUUCAUUGGGCGUAAAGGGUGCGUAGGUGGCCUGUUAAGUCAGGGGUGAAAGACGGUAGCUCAACUAUCGCAGUGCCCUUGAUACUGAUGGGCUUGAAUAAACUAGAGGUAGGCGGAAUGUGACAAGUAGCGGUGAAAUGCAUAGAUAUGUCACAGAACACCAAUUGCGAAGGCAGCUUACUAUGGUUUUAUUGACACUGAGGCACGAAAGCGUGGGGAUCAAACAGG
rnacentral:rRNA from 1 species